rnacentral:rRNA from 1 species
UACGUAGGGUGCAAGCGUUUGUCCGGAUUUAUUGGGCGUAAAGAGCUCGUAGGCGGUCUGUCGCGUCGGAUGUGAAAACCCAGGGCUCAACCCUGGGCCUGCAUUCGAUACGGGCAGGCUAGAGUGUGGUAGGGGAGAUCGGAAUUCCUGGUGUAGCGGUGAAAUGCGCAGAUAUCAGGAGGAACACCGGUGGCGAAGGCGGAUCUCUGGGCCAUUACUGACGCUGAGGAGCGAAAGCGUGGGGAGCGAACAGG